rnacentral:piRNA from 1 species
UGACUUAACAUGAUUCGCCCCUAUACC